UGUGGUUAAUCCAAUGCAUGAGUUAGGAAUGUUCAUUCCCUAAGUGAAUUUCACAUCAAGCACGAAGAAAGAAGAAGGCGCAAGUCACUCGAAGUCACAAGCAUCUCAAGAUCACGAUAAGUUCAUAUGAACUUUAUUUACUCUAUUAGCAGAUUUAUGAAUGAUAAUAUUUGGUACUAUGAAUUAGUGUACAUUUCCAUUAUGGAUCAUGAUUGACUAGACGCAAAGAGCUUAUAUUGUGAAAUGUUCAAAAGAUGAUGUUGUAAUGAAUAUGAAAUGAACCGUCUAAAUGGGUUGGAAUGAUAAGUGAAAUGAUUGUUGGAAUGUUUAGAAAUUGACUUGUUUAUAACGGGUCAAAUGAUGUAAGUAUGUCGAAAUGUAUGGUAUGUAGCAAUUCAUUAUAAAUGAGUCGGAAAGUGGUAUGUUGGAUGUUUCCGAAUGAAAGUAAACAUGUUAGUAAAGUACCAUGCCAUGAUAACGGGUCGAAUAAUGAUAGGUAAUUAAAGGAUUCGAAUUGUUAUGCAUUACGACUAACAAAUGUUUUGUUGUUAUGAAUGAUAGGUAAAUUCCACGUAUAAUUACGGCGCUCUCGGAC
rnacentral:lncRNA from 1 species